GCGCACCAGUCGCGAAUUUUUCACAAUGGGGAAACCCUGAUGGAGCGACGCCGCGUGGAGGAUGAAGGCCCUCGGGCCGUAGACUCCUGUCAUGCGGGAACAAGAAAGUGAUAGUACCGCAAGAGGAAGAGACGGCUAACUCUGUGCCAGCAGCCGCGGUAAUACAGAGGUCUCAAGCGUUAUUCGGAUUCAUUGGGCGUAAAGGGUGCGUAGGUGGCGAUGUAAGUCUGGUGUGAAAUCUCGGGGCUUCACCCCGAAACUGCAUUGGAUACUGCGUUGCUUGAGGAUUGUAGAGGAGAGUGGAAUUCACGGUGUAGCAGUGAAAUGCGUAGAUAUCGUGAGGAAGACCAGUUGCGAAGGCGACUCUCUGGGCAAUUCCUGACACUGAGGCACGAAGGCCAGGGGAGCAAACGGGAUUAGAUACCCCCGUAGU
rnacentral:rRNA from 1 species